CAGCUCCAUUCCGACCCGAAAAAAAAAGUGAACUUUCCGAUGUCUUCUCCUCCACCGGACGCCGGAACAGUCGCCGCCGUCACCGUCCGACCGUGGCCGUUAUUCAUAGAUAUAGCGGCCCUCAGCCUCCCAAUCUCAGUAUCCGAUGCAACUUAUCGGAUCAAUAAAAACCUCCGCUACUUCGCGGGUAAUUACGCGCUAAUCGUCCUCUCUAUCCUAUUAAUCUCCUUAAUUGUUCGGCCAAUUUUACUUGUGUUGUUCCUAAUCAUCUUUGUCGGUUGGAUUUACCUUUACUUCUCUCGUAAUGAACCUUUGGAGCUUUUUGGUUUCGAUGUGGAUGAUAAGUUGGUGUUAGGGUUUUUGACUUUGGUGACUCUUGUUGCGUUGCUGGUUGCUAAAAUUUGGAUGAACAUCUUCGUUUCGAUUGGCUUUGGAAUUGUGAUUAUGUGUGUCCACGGUUCACUUAGGGCUCCGGAAGAUCAGGAGGAUUCGCCUUAUGGUGCUUUGCUAUCGGAGAGUCCGAGAGGAAAUUAUUCUAUCGUUUGAAUUUUCAUGAUUGAUGUAGGUAAUUUUUUUCCUCAUUGGGAUGUGGUUGAAUUGUAGGAAAAACUUGAGUUGAUUAUUGUAACUAG
rnacentral:misc_RNA from 1 species